rnacentral:lncRNA from 1 species
GCACACACCUCCAUGGCUGGCUAGUUAAAAAAAAAUUUUUUUUGUAGAGAUGGAGUCUUGCUUGUUGCCCAGGCUGGUCUCAAACUGCCUUAAGCGAUCCUCUUGCCUUGGCCUCUCAAAGUGCUGGGAUUACAGGUGUGGGCCCCCACACCCUCAGAUCCCACAUAUUACUUACGCAUUACCUCAAAAUUGCCCCACUUCAGAUGCCAGCUGCAGGUAUUGGGUAUUUGUACGUUACCUGAACUUCUGCCCAGCAGACUAUAAAUUUGGAGGUUCCCAUGACUCCCCGUCCCAGGUUUGAUAAUUUGCUAGCAUGAGUCAUAGAACUCAGGAAAGCAUGAUAUUUAGGAUUACAGUUUUGUUACAAAGGAUUUAUUUAUAACUCAGGAACAGCUGAAUGGAAGAGACGCAUAGGGCAAGGUAUGUACUUGGGAGACUGAGGAGAAUCACCCUAGCCCGGAAAGUUGAGGCUGUAGUGAGCUGUGAUCGUGUCACUGCACUCCAUUCGGGGUGACAAAGUGAGACCCUGCUCAAAACAAACAAAAAAUAGAUGUACAUAGUGCCUUGGUUAAGAGAACAUAGUCUCUAGAGUCAGUCUGGGUUUGAGUCUGAACUUUAUCACCGACUUGCCACUUGACCUUGGAUGAGCCAUUUCUCUCUCUAAGCCUCAGCUUCCUCAUGUAUGGAGUGAGGGUAAUCACAGUAAAUAGUUGUGAGGAUUCAAUAAGAUAGUACAUUCGAAGGACAUGGCACAGUGCUAGGCAUAAAAACAAACAUUUAAUAACAUUAGCUAUUAUUGGCUACAUGGCAUCCAUUGCUAUGCCCACCUGGAAUGGCAGCUAAUUCCCAAGGAGUCAAGAAUCAUGUAUAUCAUUUUACCUCCUCUUAUAGUCAGUUUAUGGGACAGUGUAUAAAAAGAUUGCUAGGCACACAGUAGACACAAGUUAUGUAUCAUUUGAAAAUAAAACCUGUCCUCUGGGUAUCUGGGAAAUACACUAGUGACUCUGUAAUGGAAACUUCCAGCAUGUUUCCAAAGCUGGCCUAAAACCCAGAGAUGGAAAAUCUUCCUCCUGAAACCCUAUGGAGCCUGUAUAAGUCUAGCAGUGGGGACAGGGGCUAGGAUACUGUUGGAUCAAAAAUUGGGAAACUGAUCCAGGAGACAUUUUUAUCUUUGACUGUAUGCCUUGAGGUUCAGUGAGUUGGGCAAAACCACAUUAGACUUUGGGAAAAGAAAUAGAUUUAUUUCAGCCAGUCUAGAUAAUGUUUGACAGAGUCUCAGAUAAAGAGAAAAGCCCAGAUCCACAUGCAAAAGGG